rnacentral:ncRNA from 1 species
AUAAAAAUUUAUGAUUUUAAAAGUUUAUUUUUAAUUUAUUUUGCAUGUAAAUUUUAGUGUUAAUUUUUUAUUAUUUUAAUAAUAAUUAAUUAUAAAACAGUAAUUAAUAUUAAAAAUGUAAGAAAUUAUGAUUUAGUAAUAUUAAAAUUAUUAACAAAUUUUGUGCCAGCAGUUGCGGUUAUACAAAAAUUAAAAUAAAUUUUUUUCAGUUAUAAUUAAUAUAAUUUUAAUAAAUUAAAUUAAAUUUUAAAUUAUUAAGUGAAAUUUUAAUUUAAUUAAAAUUUAUAUAAAAUAUAUGUAUGAUUUAAUAAAUUAAUUAAAAAACUAGGAUUAGAUACCCUAUUAUUAAAAUGUAAAUAAAAAUACUAAAAUAGUAAAUAAUUUAUUAUUGAAACUUAAAUAAUUUGGCGGUAUUUUAGUUCAUUUAGAGGAAUCUGUUUAUUAAUUGAUAAUCCACGAAUAAAUUUACUUAAUUUAUUAUUUUGUAUAUCGUUGUUAAAAAAAUAUUUUUAAAUAAAAAUAAUAUUUUAAAAUUUAAAUAAAAAAUUAGUUCAGAUCAAGAUGCAGAUAAUAUUUAAGAAUAUAAUGGAUUACAAUAAAUUUAUUUAAAUGAAUAUUAUUUUUGAAAAAUUAAUUGAAGGUGGAUUUAAAUGUAAUUUUAUUUAAUUUAAUAAAAUGAUUAAAAAUUAAAAUAUGUACAUAUUGCCCGUCGCUUUCAUUUUAAAAUUGGAAUAAGUCGUAACAAAGUAGAGGUACUGGAAAGUGUUUCUAGAAAGAU